UUGCAUUUGUCAGAUAGAGGCAGCUUGAGGCAUGGAUAAAAGAAACCAGAGGAUCUCUUCAAUCUACAUUUCCAACGCUGGAGAACAGUAGAAAAGUGGCGCUGAAAAGAAAACAACCCUUUGGUCCUGGGUUCUCCGUCUACCCAAACGGCCCAUUUUGCGGAAGCUUACCAGCAGAAAAAAAAAAAGGCCAAGGAGAAGUUGGGGACUAGGCCCCAUCCCCAAGCCGACAGCAGAGCCUAUGGAUUCUGGGACCGAAGAGAAGUCUGUACUCCUCCACCCACCCCACCCCUAUUGGGGAUAGAGGAGAGUGAGAAGGGAAGGCAGCCUCCCCUCCCCACCACCUUUGUAGGCCGUUUCAGCUACUCCAAGGUGUAAGAGCUAUGGACCGGGGCCAGCACUCUCCUUCCCCUCCCCCCUCCCCAAGCUAAGGGAGCGGGGGCAGCCGCCUAACCGGCUCCUUCCACGACCUCCCAGUUCAUGGCCCCAGGGCAUGGAGGUAGAAGGCUUUCACUGGGAGUCCCCUUCACUCCCCACCCUCCUCUCCCCUCCACCUCGAGGUUUGGGAAGCUGACACUACCUGGGAGCCGCAGCUUCCUGACCCGGGCCACUGGCGAGGCGGCUUAGGUCAGCGCCCAGUGCCAGCUGUGGGGAGCCUCUAUCGCCUCGCCGCCCGUUGAUCUUCCAACCCCACGUUCUGAAAGGAAUGGAAACUCGCCUGGCAGUAUCCUUAGCGAUAGGCCCAGACGGCUAGAAGUGAAAACUCUGGGAACCGUCUGUCCUUGUCCUUCGUCCUGGGAAGCCUCUAAAAGUCGGACACCUUUCCAACCGCAGAGCUGAGAUUGGAGACUAGCGAGCUAGCAGCCUCACCUGGGAAAGGCCAAGGUGACAUCCACACAUAUGCAUUUUAAUUCGCAUCCCUGGGUCACUUUGAAUUGGGAAGUGGGGGAGGGGGCGAGUAGUGCUAGGAAAUUUGGGGCCGGCAGAAUACACCACAGGAAAGGGCAAAGGCGUCUCUAAAGUUUCGCUUUGGAAGCUCCCACCUUCUUCCCCGUUGGCUCCAUAAUUUAUGACAGAUGUAGGUCUGAGUGAGCCAUGAGCACGCCGGCAGGCCUUUACCGCCUUUACCGUCUUUUGCCAUUGAAAGCAAGAUCUGAAGGCGCUAGGCAACUCAAACCCUUCUCCUCCCUCCCUCCCGGUCUGUCCGGUCCCUCUCCCUCUCUCAUCUCGAAGAAAAUGCAUGAUUAGAUUCUUUUUGGAGUUCCCCCUCCCACUUUAUUUUUCUGGAGCAAAAAAAAAAGUAUUUGGGCGCCUCCGUGACACUUGAUUGACAGCUCUCCAGAACUACUCAGUUCGAUGGGGGGGGGAGGACGGAGGACGGCAGGCGACUUAAUUAUUUAAUGGGGGGGGAAUUAGGAUUCUUUGUUCCUGUUUGUCUACUCCUGUGACGAUCCCAACAAGAAAGGCAUUCGACAAAGUCUGGAAGACAUUUCAAUAAAAAUUUAUUGAAAUUUCAGUGACGUUUUAAAAGAAAAAAAUACAGAAAACCAAGAGCUCAUUAACGAUUCUAUUAACACAAAAUAUACCUUCAUGGAUUUUCCUUUUUUAAAGUUUGGUGUUUUUUUUUUCUUGAAGACACCUGACUUUCAAACUUGGAUUAGCUAUUAUCUCUAGGCACCAACUGAGAAAUAAAUGGAUCACACAGCGACACCAGUAGUCAAACCCAUUUCAUUUGGACACAAGAAGGAAUGGGCAAAUUCAGAAAACGAGAAAUACAGCCCACAAGAUUCUGCUUUGCCCCUUUUCUCCUCCCCACAAUCUCCACGCCCUUCAUUUGACGCAGGAAAGUACCUAAUAAUAGCACCCUUCCCAUUAAUUUAUUUUUAUCUUCUGCAUUAGGACUUUUUACUAACUUGGUUAUUAAAAGGGAGGUACUUUGCAAAAAAAAAAAAUAGGGAAAAAAACCCCCAGCCCAGAGCUGUAUGUUUCCUUGUUUUCCAAGCCUGACCUUGAAAUGAAAUGGAGAACGAAACACGGGGCAGCUGCUGCCUUAUUUACAGAGAUCUGUACAGUGUCAAUAAAUUAAAGUUUAAUUCUGA